AUGCAGAGGAGCAACAGCGACGUGACCCUAGGAGACCUGGACUCGUGUGGGAAGGCGGGGGGGAAGGCUGUGCGGGCGGCAGGGGAGAAGGCGGGCGUGGAGGGCGACUCGGGCGUGCUUCUGCACAGAGAGUACGGCAGCCUGUCGUCACUAGAGAGGCAGAUUCAGGCCCGGGGGCCCAACGCGGACGAGCGGGGCCCCCUGAGUCCCAACGCGCUGCGCUUCAAGGACCCCUUCCUGCUGCUGGGGCUGCAGAGCAGCCUCCCCGAGCCCGACGGCUUCUUCAGAGGACUCAGCACCUCCACGGGGGACUCCCCCAAACCUGCUAAACCCCCCAAGCCUGAAAAUCUGGGUAAAAAGUCCAAACCCGUCCUCGCUCACGUUCCUCAACCAGGCUUGUAUGACAUCAUCGGGGGCGGAGCCUGGGUGAGGAACUUCGCCCACUAUGACGUCCAGAGCAUCCUUUUCGACCUGACCGAGGUAGCCACCAACAGGGACAGCAUCGGGAGGAAGAAGAACAUCACGUCGGGGGCGUCAGCUGCCUCUCAGCUCCACGGAAACGACAACGAGCUGCUGCUCAGCUGCCCGCACUUCCGUAACGAGACGGGAGGAGAGCAGCAGGGGGGGCUGAGCCGGUCCCAGGGGGGGAAGGGGAGGGGCCUCUGGUCCAGCCUGAGGACCCCCAACGAUGCUGUGUCUGUCCUGGAGGAGCCCAGAGAGAGUCACGUCCAGCAGCAGGGCAAGAGCAACUACUUCAUAGAGCAUGCAGACCUCGGCGCGCAUUAUUACCGCAAAUAUUUCUACAUGAAAGAACAUCAGAACUUCUUUGGAAUGGACGAUCGUCUCGGUCCCGUUGCCAUCAGUUUUCGGCGAGAGGAGAAAGAAGGAUCCAGUGGCGCUCAGUACAACUACAGAAUCAUCUUUCGCACGACAGAGAUGAAGACGCUGAGAGGUUCCAUCCUGGAGGAAUCUGUUCCGUCUGCAGCUCGUCACACGACUCCCAGAGGUCUUUCACCAAAGCGUCUGCUGGAGUUCAUCAUGCCUGAGCUGAACCUGCACUGCCUGCGUUUGGCCUCCAACUCUCCCAAAGUCAGAGACACUUUACUGAAACUGGACGAGCAGGGACUGAACUUCCAGAGAAAGGUGGGGGUGAUGUACUGCAGGGCGGGGCAGAGCUCUGAGGAGGACAUGUACAACAACGAGAGCUCAGGACCAGCGUUUGAGGAGUUUCUGGAUCUGCUCGGUGAACGAGUGCGACUGAAGGGAUGGGAGAAGUAUCGAGCACAGCUGGACAACAAGACGGACUCAACUGGAACACAUUCCCUCUACACGCGCUACCAGGACUACGAGAUAAUGUUUCAUGUGUCCACGAUGCUUCCCUACACGGCCAACAACACGCAGCAGCUGCUGAGGAAGCGACACAUCGGGAACGACAUCGUCACCAUCGUGUUCCAGGAGCCUGGAGCUCUUCCCUUCACACCAAAGUCCAUACGCUCACAUUUCCAACACGUCUUCAUCAUCGUCCAGGUUCAUGAGCCCUGCUCGGACAAUACAUAUUACAGGGUGGCUGUGACUCGCUCUAAAGACAUCCCAUUAUUCGGUCCUCUGUUCCCUAAGGGCGCUCGGUUCCCUCGCUCCGCCGCCUUCAGAGACUUCCUCCUCGCCAAGGCGGUAAACGCGGAAAACGCCGCUGAGAAGUCGGAGAAGUUCCGCUCCAUGGCAACUCGCACGCGCCAGGAAUACCUGAAGGACUUGGCGGAAAACUACGUGACCACCACGCCCAUUGACUCGUCCACCAAGUUCCCGCUGCUGUCGCUGGGCGGCAAGCGUAAAGACAAGCUGAAGGGCGCCAAGGGGGCGGAGCUUCACAGCGCGGGCGCCCUAGUGUGGGCGGUGAUGGUGCACGGCGAGCACACGCUGCCCUGUCUGCUGGGCGUGUCGGCAGAGUCGGUGGUGCUCAUCGAGAGGUACACGCGCAGGGUGGCGUUCAACUGCUCCUGUCGAGACGUGAUUGGCUGGAAGGCGGUGACGGAGCCCAAAGAGGGCGUGGCCUGCCUGGACAUCUAUUACGAGCGCGGAGCAUCUGUGUCCAUCACUGUGAUGGAGACGCAGGUGGAGGAUAUCAAAGAGGUGGUGCAGAGGCUCGAGCUGGUGACUCGAGGCUGCGAGGCGUUCGAGGUCACCCCUCUGCGUGACGGCGUGGGACAGCCAGGCUUCCUCAUGAACGACGAAGGCUUCGUGACGGAGCUGCAGCGGUUCUGCUACGCUGAGAGCGGCGGUCUGCAGCUGUGGGCGCGCGUGGUGCGACUCUGCGGGCAUUCGCUGGUUCACCUCAGCCUGGAGGAGAGAUCCAGGCUGCUGAGGACGGCCCACAAAGUCCACAUCACCGUCAUCCCACCGGACGAGAACGGAAAGCCUCGCAGGUGA
ensembl:lncRNA signal-induced proliferation-associated 1